rnacentral:sRNA from 1 species
AAGCAGCACUCCUCCAUGGCCUCUGCUCAGCUCCUGCCCUGUUUGAGUUCCCGUCCUGGCUUCCAUCAAUGAUGAACUAGAACAUGGGAGUGUGAGCCAAAUAAACCCUUUUCCUUCCCAACUUGUCACGGUGUUUCAUCCCAGCAAUAAAAACUAAGACACCAGGUCCAGUGGUCCUCUCUGGCAAUAUCUCCCUAGCACCACCAACUGGGAAGGCUCUCCUUUCUCCAUUUUGAGUCCUUGGCAUCCUUGUCGGAGGCUUUCUCUCUGUUGCUUUCCAGGACCACGUGAGUCUCUUGACACUUGAGGAGUUAUUUACACACUUAUCAUUUGUUCCAGUCACCUUUCAGCUUCUUUCAGGGCAGGUUGGACCACAGCUAUCACCCACCUUAUCGCAGAGACUGAGGAGAGUAGGAAACCAUAAGACAUGUGCCACUGGCAUUUUAGUACACUAAAGGAAGUUAUCUUUGAGACAAAACCCUCUAGUCGCCGGUAGAUAAAUUCGAUGGGGAGUCAGGCAUCCCUUGGCUGACCAAGUUCCUAUUCUUUAUCUUCUCUCUGUCACUUCUAAGUUCCCAUGACACCAGGCUAUAAAAGCGUUACACGACAUGGAAGCUAUAAAAACUAUAUAUGCUUAAAAGUUGGGAAAAGAUUAAUAUAAGCAUUUCCCACACCCCCGCCUCCUUCCUUCCUAAGAGACGUGAUGCCAGAGAUUCCCAGGACAAAGUGAAGCCACUGUCCCCAGUUAGGGCUACACCUUCUCACUGGGCGAUCAUCCACAAGACGCCACAGUCAGCGGGGUGAUGAUUCACUGAUACUACGAUGGGCUUUGCUCAGGCCCACAAGGGCAGCCCACAGAUCUGUCUCCAGCUGGCAGGGAAACGGCCAUCAGAGAGCAGGCUUGUUUUCCCACUAAUUCUGAGAGUUCUUUUUCCUUGAGGAUUCAAGAACAUUCUCAAGUGACCGCAUCCUAAGGUCUUGCUUGAAGUUCCAUGUGUUUCCCUCAGGAACUGGCCACCUGUCAGAAACCCCUGUGUGGACGUGGACUCAUCUGUAGCAAUGUCUUGAGAAUUUCUACACUCACCAUGUCUACGUGACACUGAGUUUGAAUGUGACUCAAGGUCACCCCAAAGUGUUGCUCACACUUAUUUUACUGCUAUAGUCAAUAUCGAGCUUCAGAGCUCACAUUCACUGACAGACUUCUGACAGAGCCACCACAAACAACCUGAGCGUUAAUCUCUGGUUGGCUGUCGUCACCAACCUCUGAGGGGCUAACCUUUCCCUAGAACUGUGAGACGCUCUGUUACCUGUGUAGGAUGAGGCUCCAAAGUGAAAGGUUUCACAAUAACACAGGACGGUCCCCCAACCCCCAAUCAGGCAGGUACCUGGUUUGAAGCAAGGAACCUGACUUCUGAAACAUGUUUCGGUAGCUCGGCUCUUAACUGCGGCUUUCUAGAUGAGAGAUGAUGAGUUAGGAAGCUUGAUUCAAAUGCUUCGCUCUAGAUGAUCAAAUGCUGACUUCCAGGCAAACAAGAGGGUGCUCUUGCCACAAUAGGGUGUUGGCUAGGUACGGUGGCACAUACUUGUCAUCAUAGCACAUAGAAGGCUGAGGCAGGAGGAUCUUGAGAGUUUGAAGCUUGUCCGGGUUUAAACACAAAAUCUUGCCCUCCCUCUCCCUGAAAAGGUCUUAUUUUUUAUCUCAUUAAGUCUUUUAUUUCUGAAUUUUCCUCUAUCCAGUAUUUAACUUCAAAGAGUUAUUGCUCCAUAGUCAGGCUCAUGAUUACCGAGCAUGUGCAAGGCCCUGGGUUCAAUCCUCAGCACUAUACAGAAAAGGUUAUUGAUUAUUUUGCUUUUCUUCCAAAACAUCACUUGCCUAGCCAGCAGCUCACAAGAGUCAGGUUUUGAGUGAUUGGUGGUUUAUGAGUGAAUGUCCCACUCUAAGUCAAGGUAGGAAUUCAACAGGUGCUGUUAGUGACCCUGGGGAAUAGAAAUGUAAGACCAUCUUAGAUACCGGUGCAUCUGAAAGUCAGCUGGCCUGCACAUGAACUGUACGACUGAUAGGAAAACAAAAGGGCUUAAACCAUUGAACCGUAGCUGCAAUCAGACAGACAAAUAAAACCACACACACACACACACACACACACACACACACACACACACACACACACACACACACACUGGAGUGGAAAACAGCCUCUACAGUCUCAGGCAUUUGAAAAUGUGGCUGUUUGCCCUCUCCCCAGUUGGUGGUGCUGUUCUGUGGAGGUUUUCGAAGGUGAGUGUGUCAAGAACAGCAGAAUUUGAGAUUAAAGCCUCUUCCAACUCUAUUUGGUUUCUCUGCUUGUGGUUCAAGAUAAGAGCUCUCAGCUUCCCACUUCAGUUGCCAUGUCCCUCUUGUCACACGUCCUGCCGCAGUGAGUCCAUCUCUCAGGGACCAUAUAGCCAAAAAAACUGUCUUCUGUAAGUUGCUCUGACCAGAUUGUUUUGUUUUAUGCUGUUUCAUUUUGUCACAGCGAUAGAAAAGUAAAUACUAUAUGAACCAAGGAAGAAUCGGCCUUGUGUAUCUUAAAAUUAUAUUAAAUUCUCAACAUUCUAAUGUUUCAACAUUUAGAUAUAGAAGUAUGAUUUAUCUAAAGCCCUUUGAAAUGACUGCAAAGCUGACAGGUACCCACAAAUUGAAGGUAAAAUUACUUACAGAUCAUCAUGUGCUUUGAUCCCUUUCUGAGUGCUUAGAAAGCCCUCUGGAUUAUCUGGUGGCUUGUUUCAUUCUAAAAGAAUCAAAGAUUCUGAACUGAUGUCAGCUCUUUGUGUAAACAUUUAAACAGUCUCAAAAUGUAAAGCAAUCUUUACUUAAAAGUAACCUUGUCCUGAUAAGUAUUUUGACUGGGAGGUUAACAGACCUGGAAUGGAGAACAACACGGUUCAUUUUUCUCCUUUGCACUGCACGACAUCUAAACCUCGCACACUACUCUUGGGAAUGCUGCUGUUUGUCCAUAGGAAGUGGAAUUCCGUGGGCCGUACUGCAAGUGGAUCUUCAGAUGUGCAGGAUGGGUUACGUCAGCAGUAGGUGGGCCACACUUACUUCUUUGACAACUGCCUACAUUCAGCUUGGCACCCAGGGUGGCUCCCUAAGUGUGUCGACUGACAACAGCCAAAAGUUCAUAUUUCAUCCUUCACUCUGCCCACACACUCCCUCUAUGAGAUGUUCCAUUCUAUAAACAUGUGUUUUCACCUUUAUAAAAGUGGCAAGUCUAAGUGAGUAGAGCCUGUUCCUCUGAGAAACAUGAACCGAAGCGUGGACAGCUGAAGAAUGUUUCCAAACGAGACUGGGUACCUGCCAGGACCCAGAAGGCUGAUCUGAGUCUGCACCAACGGUGAAAGGCGCAGGUGGCUGCAUCUCAUGCCUUAACUUAUGGUGGGAAAAACAGAAGCUCUGGGAGUAGUUUUUCCAACGAGCUUACUUUUGCAUGCCACCUCCACCCCAACAUCUCCCAUCGCCAGAUGAAACAAGAGUGGCUGGCUCCUUAUCGCCACUGAGUAGCUGUUAAGGGUGGUGCUGGCUCUGCCUGCCAGGCUGGCUUCCAAAAUAAACAGAGCUCAGCUUCAGGGUCCCCCACUUCUUUGGACAGAGAGAUAAGAUAAUUAUUUCUCAGAUAAAGCAGAUAAGCCUUGUGAAUAAGAGCCAGCAUUUUUGGGAAAAUAAAGGACAUGAAAACCAGGACCCUAGAUUUUGGAGUCCAUUUAUCUUCUGGAGACAAAAGAAAUGUCUGGAUUGGAACACUUAAUGCCAAGUAGAAUAUAAACUAGAUAAGAGAAUGGGCAUAAUUCCUAAAUAUGACUUAAAUAUACCAUAAACACUUCAUUAUGAAGUGUUGGGAGGGCCACACACCAAUCCCAGGAGGAAGGCUUAAGGCCAAGCAUGGAGCCCACCUUUCUCAUUUGCUCCUUGCCAGAACUAGAGGCAAAUCAACGUAAAUCAAAAACAGGCUGCAACAGACUGGGGCCUUCCAGUAGCAGAACUGCAGACUCACCAGGGACAAGGCAGAAAUUGCUGCUCAAGGCACGGAAUUUGUGGUGCACGUGGUAUAAUUACUAUCUCAAUUAGUAUUGGAUAUUUCCAACACAGGGAACCUGAUAAACUGGGAUCGAUGGACGGAUGAAUGCAUGGGUAGGUAGGUAAAUGGGUGGAUAGGAACUCAAAAAUUCCCAUGGUGACCUUUGGUAUCAAGAAAAUAUAAAUAAGAAUAUUCCUUUAUAGAAUAUGAAGCUAAAUCACACUUAGAUUAAACGCCAGCUAUGAGAAGUGACAAAGGUUUUAUAAAUUAAAAUAAAGAUCUGAGUUACACAACCUGAUAGUAACUUGACAUUUAAAUGCCUACUUUUAAGAACCAGCACAGGAUCCACCAUGGCUAAUUCAAGUUGUUCCAGAUUUAACGUUAACUACAUCAGAAGAAAUCACUGGUCCAUAGCCAAAGGUUUACCUGAGUCCUGUGGAUUUACUUGAGAAUGAGAGCAUUCUGGGGAUUAGAUGGAAAUUAAAAAUCUAGUAGUAUCCAUAGUUGGCCACGUUGGCUCCUGCCUGUAAUCCCAACACUCAGGAGGUGGAUGCAAGAGACUCCGGGUCCAGCCUUGGCUACAUUCUGAGACUGAGCCAAUCUGAGGUGCAUGAGACCCUGGCUCAAAGGGGGGUGGGGCGGGAGGUGUUAUUAAUCCAAACAAGUUCUAAAUUUACCUAAACCUGAAAAAGUCCGCCUUAUUGCCCAAUAUAUGGUAGCAUUAAACAACAUUUCUCUGCGGGUGUGGUGUUGCACUGUUGCUGGGUGGGGAGGCAACUCUGGAAUCCGGUGUACAAAGGAGCUCCUGCUGGUCUCCAAGGUGAGCCUCUCUGUGACCUGUUCUGUCUCACCAGGCUUGUCUAGGCAUCCACUCACACGGCAGACCAGCUCCCCUUCCAAUCUCAGGCAUGUCGGCUCCUACCUAUAAUCCCAACUCUCAGAGGUGGAUGCAAGAGGCUUAGGGGUUCGAGUCUAGCCUAGGCUACACACUGCUAUCCAAGGAAUAGCAGUGGGACAAUUUUUCCCAGAACCCGAGGCCAAGUUCCCUAUUUUGUCUUCCCUUCCUUGUGUGUGUUUAGUAAGUCACGUGCCAGAUGGUGUCUCCUCUGCCACUGUUUUCUGCCUUUGGACAUCAAAAGGAGGUCAGCAGUCAAGUUUUCUUCCCUUUGCUUCUCAGCACAUGGGGAUUUUCGAUGUUCUUCCAGGAGCUCCAGCCCCAAUGGGCAGCCAGGAACGGGAGUAGGAGGCCAGCGGUGACCCGCGCUGAGAGGACCCGUGAGUACAUGCCUGUGUGCUAUUUCCCAUGCUUCCAUCCAAGAACAGGCUGUACGGAGGCGAUGCGUAUGAAUGAAUGCAUCCAUUAUGCCCGUCGCCCUUGCCUAUCCCACUCAAGGCCUGACACUGGCUUAGGUCACCACCCUUGGAUACAAUCUGUGCCAUCAGCCGGGGUGGAGGCUGAUAGACUAUGAGUACUUGGCUUCGUCUGGGUAGCUUCUCAGGUGUGGUUCCUCAGGCACACCCUAAUAACUGACAACGUCUUCUCUUUAAGAGCAAGUUUUGGGCUCUGCUUAUUCCGUUGACUCGGUGAGAGACUGGGGACCAUAUCUUGCUGACUGAUGGCGGCUGCACUGUGUCUGCAUAAGAGGCUGAAUUUCACCGUGGAGCUAGCCCAGCCCUCUAAACUUCAACCACUUGAAAGGUCUCCAUCAAAACACUUUCUGG